rnacentral:rRNA from 2 species
UUUUUCACCCCACAACCCCGCCCCCUUAUGAGUUUUGGAUUCUGCUCAGGACGAACGCUGGCGGCGUGCCUAAUACAUGCAAGUCGAGCGGACAGAUGGGAGCUUGCUCCCUGAUGUUAGCGGCGGACGGGUGAGUAACACGUGGGUAACCUGCCUGUAAGACUGGGAUAACUCCGGGAAACCGGGGCUAAUACCGGAUGCUUGUUUGAACCGCAUGGUUCAAACAUAAAAGGUGGCUUCGGCUACCACUUACAGAUGGACCCGCGGCGCAUUAGCUAGUUGGUGAGGUAAUGGCUCACCAAGGCAACGAUGCGUAGCCGACCUGAGAGGGUGAUCGGCCACACUGGGACUGAGACACGGCCCAGACUCCUACGGGAGGCAGCAGUAGGGAAUCUUCCGCAAUGGACGAAAGUCUGACGGAGCAACGCCGCGUGAGUGAUGAAGGUUUUCGGAUCGUAAAGCUCUGUUGUUAGGGAAGAACAAGUACCGUUCGAAUAGGGCGGUACCUUGACGGUACCUAACCAGAAAGCCACGGCUAACUACGUGCCAGCAGCCGCGGUAAUACGUAGGUGGCAAGCGUUGUCCGGAAUUAUUGGGCGUAAAGGGCUCGCAGGCGGUUUCUUAAGUCUGAUGUGAAAGCCCCCGGCUCAACCGGGGAGGGUCAUUGGAAACUGGGGAACUUGAGUGCAGAAGAGGAGAGUGGAAUUCCACGUGUAGCGGUGAAAUGCGUAGAGAUGUGGAGGAACACCAGUGGCGAAGGCGACUCUCUGGUCUGUAACUGACGCUGAGGAGCGAAAGCGUGGGGAGCGAACAGGAUUAGAUACCCUGGUAGUCCACGCCGUAAACGAUGAGUGCUAAGUGUUAGGGGGUUUCCGCCCCUUAGUGCUGCAGCUAACGCAUUAAGCACUCCGCCUGGGAGACGCACCGG